rnacentral:lncRNA from 1 species
UUGGAUAAGGGUUUAAGGUUUGAAUUAGGAUUUAGGAUUUUAUAAGGAUUUGAUUUAGGGUUUGGAUUAGGAUUUAGUUAGGGUUUAGUUAGGAUUUAGUUAGGGUUUGGUUAGGAUUUGAUUUAGGGUUUGGAUUAGGGUUUGGAUUAGGAUUUAGAGUUUGGUUUGGGUUUGAUUUAGGGUUGGAAUUAGAGUUUGGUUAAGGUUUGAUUUAGGGUUUUAUUUAAGGUUUGGUUUAGGAUUUAGGGUUUGGAUUAGGAUUUAGGAUUUGAAUUAGGAUUUGGUUAGGAUUUGAUUUAGGGUUUGGAUUAGAAUUUGGAUUAAGAUUUAGGAUUUGAAUUAGGAUUUAGGGUUUGAUUAUGGUUUGAUUUAGGGUUUGGUUUAGGAUUUUGGAUUUGGAUUAGGGUUUAGGAUUGGAUUAGAAUUUGGAUAAGGAUUUAGGGUUUGAUUUAGGAUUUGGUUUAGAGUUUAGGAUUUGAAAUAGGGUUUGAUUUAGGGUUUAAUUUAAGGUUUUUUUAGGAUUUGACUUAGGAUUUAGGAUUUAUUAGGAUUUAAUAUUUAAUUAGGUUUGGUCUAAAUUUUGAGUGAAAUUCAAUAGGGUUUUAACUAGAAUUAAAUUAAGGUUGAAUUGACAUAUAUUUGAGUAAUAUUUGUGAUCAUUCUAAUAUUUCUUUAAGAAUUUUAUUGUUUGUUUGAAAUUUCUUUGAGUUGUUUUGAAUUUGAUUACGUUUGUUUACCAUUAUUAUAGUCUAAUUAGAGUAUUGUUAGUAUUCUAUUAGAAUUAGGAUUUUGUUAUCGCAAUUUCUAUUCUUCCUUCUACAACCAGGUGCCCGGAGCAUUCUCAAGCAAGACUUCAUACAUUACAAUACCGUCUUGAGUCUCAAGUAUGGGAAUUGGGUUUGUUGAAUUUAGAUCUGAUGACGCGUUUGGAUAGA